UACGUAGGGGGCUAGCGUUGUCCGGAAUUAUUGGGCGUAAAGGGCUCGUAGGCGGUCUGUCGCGUCGGGAGUGAAAACUCAGGGCUUAACCCUGAGCCUGCUUCCGAUACGGGCAGACUAGAGGUAUGCAGGGGAGAACGGAAUUCCUGGUGUAGCGGUGGAAUGCGCAGAUAUCAGGAGGAACACCGGUGGCGAAGGCGGUUCUCUGGGCAUUACCUGACGCUGAGGAGCGAAAGUGUGGGGAGCGAACAGG
rnacentral:rRNA from 1 species